rnacentral:rRNA from 1 species
AUACAUGCAAGUCGAACGCUUUGUGGUUCAACUGAUUUGAAGAGCUUGCUCAGAUAUGACGAUGGACAUUGCAAAGAGUGGCGAACGGGUGAGUAACACGUGGGAAACCUACCUCUUAGCAGGGGAUAACAUUUGGAAACAGAUGCUAAUACCGUAUAACAAUGACAACCGCAUGGUUGUUAUUUAAAAGAUGGUUCUGCUAUCACUAAGAGAUGGUCCCGCGGUGCAUUAGCUAGUUGGUAAGGUAAUGGCUUACCAAGGCGAUGAUGCAUAGCCGAGUUGAGAGACUGAUCGGCCACAAUGGGACUGAGACACGGCCCAUACUCCUACGGGAGGCAGCAGUAGGGAAUCUUCCACAAUGGGCGAAAGCCUGAUGGAGCAACGCCGCGUGUGUGAUGAAGGGUUUCGGCUCGUAAAACACUGUUGUAAGAGAAGAAUGACAUUGAGAGUAACUGUUCAAUGUGUGACGGUAUCUUACCAGAAAGGAACGGCUAAAUACGUGCCAGCAGCCGCGGUAAUACGUAUGUUCCAAGCGUUAUCCGGAUUUAUUGGGCGUAAAGCGAGCGCAGACGGUUAUUUAAGUCUGAAGUGAAAGCCCUCAGCUCAACUGAGGAAUUGCUUUGGAAACUGGAUGACUUGAGUGCAGUAGAGGAAAGUGGAACUCCAUGUGUAGCGGUGAAAUGCGUAGAUAUAUGGAAGAACACCAGUGGCGAAGGCGGCUUUCUGGACUGUAACUGACGUUGAGGCUCGAAA